UCUCCGUUGGUGAACCAGCGGAGGGAUCAUUACUGAGCGUGUAAAAACACUCAAAACCAUAGCGAACCUACCAGUGGGAUUGUAUCGUUGCCUCGGCGGGCGGCCCCAGGGCGGGGCCGUAGCCUUUACAGGCGCCCGCCGGAGGUUACAAACUCUAUAUUUUUAAUUGUCUCUCUGAGUAAACUUAUAAAUAAGUCAAAACUUUCAACAACGGAUCUCUUGGUUCUGGCAUCGAUGAAGAACGCAGC
rnacentral:misc_RNA from 1 species